rnacentral:rRNA from 1 species
AGUGAACGCUGGCGGUAGGCCUAACACAUGCAAGUCGAACGGCCGCACAGUAAGAGCUUGCUCUUACGGUUGGCGAGUGGCGGACGGGUGAGGAAUACAUCGGAAUCUACUUUUUCGUGGGGGAUAACGUAGGGAAACUUACGCUAAUACCGCAUACGACCUACGGGUGAAAGCAGGGGAUCUUCGGACCUUGCGCGAUUGAAUGAGCCGAUGUCGGAUUAGCUAGUUGGCGGGGUAAAGGCCCACCAAGGCGACGAUCCGUAGCUGGUCUGAGAGGAUGAUCAGCCACACUGGAACUGAGACACGGUCCAGACUCCUACGGGAGGCAGCAGUGGGGAAUAUUGGACAAUGGGCGCAAGCCUGAUCCAGCAAUGCCGCGUGGGUGAAGAAGGCCUUCGGGUUGUAAAGCCCUUUUGUUGGGAAAGAAAAGCAGCAGGUUAAUACCCCGCUGUUCUGACGGUACCCAAAGAAUAAGCACCGGCUAACUUCGUG